rnacentral:rRNA from 1 species
CGGGUGAGUAAUGCCUGGGAAUAUGCCUUAGUGUGGGGGAUAACUAUUGGAAACGAUAGCUAAUACCGCAUAAUGUCUUCGGACCAAAGAGGGGGACCUUCGGGCCUCUCGCGCUAAGAUUAGCCCAGGUGGGAUUAGCUAGUUGGUGAGGUAAAGGCUCACCAAGGCAACGAUCCCUAGCUGGUCUGAGAGGAUGAUCAGCCACACUGGAACUGAGACACGGUCCAGACUCCUACGGGAGGCAGCAGUGGGGAAUAUUGCACAAUGGGGGAAACCCUGAUGCAGCCAUGCCGCGUGUAUGAAGAAGGCCUUCGGGUUGUAAAGUACUUUCAGUCGUGAGGAAGGGUGUGUAGUUAAUAGCUGCAUACCUUGACGUUAGCGACAGAAGAAGCACCGGCUAACUCCGUGCCAGCAGCCGCGGUAAUACGGAGGGUGCGAGCGUUAAUCGGAAUUACUGGGCGUAAAGCGCAUGCAGGCGGUCUGUUAAGCAAGAUGUGAAAGCCCGGGGCUCAACCUCGGAACCGCACUUUGAACUGGCAGACUAGAGUCUUGUAGAGGGGGGUAGAAUUUCAGGUGUAGCGGUGAAAUGCGUAGAGAUCUG